rnacentral:snoRNA from 1 species
CAGCGAUGAUUGAAAAUUUGUGCAGUGGCCGAGGCGUCUGUUCUUGAAUCGUGCUCUGAAUAAGGGCGUAACCCAACGUUUCACUUUCGCCAGAAGAUGGAUAUUUGCGCAAUGUCUGAGCUUU